AUGCACAGCCUCCUGGGGUUGUUGAUGGUGUCACUGUGGCUGCAACUGACAAGGGUGAAUAGUCAACUAGCAGAAGAGAAUCUGUGGGCCCUGAGCGUCCACGAGGGUGAAAGUGUCACGGUGAAUUGUAGUUACAAGACAUCCAUAACUGCCCUACAGUGGUACAGACAGAAGUCAGGCGAAGGCCCUGCCCAGCUAAUCUUAAUACGUUCAAAUGAGAGAGAGAAGCGCAAUGGAAGACUCAGAGCCACCCUUGACACCUCCAGCCAGAGCAGCUCCUUGUCCAUCACUGCUACUCGGUGUGAAGACACCGCUGUGUACUUCUGUGCUACUGAUG